CCUACGGGUGGCAGCAGUGAGGAAUAUUGGUCAAUGGACGCAAGUCUGAACCAGCCAUGCCGCGUGCAGGAAGACGGCUCUAUGAGUUGUAAACUGCUUUUGUACGAGGGUAAACGCAGAUACGCGUAUCUGUCGGAAAGUAUCGUACGAAUAAGGAUCGGCUAACUCCGUGCCAGAAGCCGCGGUAAUACGGAGGAUUCAAGCGUUAUCCGGAUUUAUUGGGUUUAAAGGGUGCGUAGGCGGGCGGAUAAGUUAGAGGUGAAAUCCCGAGGCUCAACUUCGGAAUUGCCUCUGAUACUGUUCGGCUAGAGCGUAGUUGCGGUAGGCGGAAUGUAUGGUGUAGCGGUGAAAUGCUUAGAGAUCAUACAGAACACCGAUUGCGAAGGCAGCUUACCAGGCUACUUCUGACGUUGAGGCACGAAAGCGUGGGGAGCAAACAGGAUUAGAUACCCCUGUAGUC
rnacentral:rRNA from 1 species